CUAGAAGGAGAGACUUUUUCCAAACAACUGAUGAAUGAUAAUCCUAGAAGUCAGGUCUAGUUGAUUAGGGUGUGAUCUCAUGUGGUUUGCAACAUCCCAAGGCAAUGCUUCCAGACUAGGGUGGCCAUCCAACAUUCUUGUUUGAAUCCUCCAAUAAAGAGGACACUUGGUUUAUUUCAAAACACAAAAUGCAGACAAGUGGGAGAACUGGUUUUCCAGUUUAUGUCAGUGUAGUCAACAGAGAGGGAAAAGGCCUUGUCACUUGGAGCUUUACCAGCCGAGGAAGUGCAGCCAUUGACUAACCUGAGCAUACUCACCCAGAGAGAGUCAUGCUAGAUGGCUUCCAUGACCUUGUCAAACCUAGGAAUUCCAAAAUCCAGAGGAAGCCAGAAAACAUGAUCCUGUGGAGGUGAGACAUUCUCCAAUGUUCAACUUUAGGGAUUUUCUCUAUUUGGCAGCCAUAGGCAAUGCUUAGUUGGGCAACUCUCAAGUCUAUAAGAGCAGAGAUGCACAAUACAUAUAAGCAUUUGUCCAUUUGCCCUUUUCUCAACAGAGGAGAUUAGGAUUUCAAAGAACAAAGAACUUCCCAGUUUCUGUUGGGCUCUUAAGACAUAGACCUGAGCCAUGAAGCCAAGCCACGUAUCUGCACCAUAGCUGCCUCCCAGCUGGCUAUAUGAGAAAACAUUAGGGAUCAUCUGUCCGAUUAUACAUAGAUAAAUAAAUAAAUAAAUAAAUAAAUAAAUAAAUAAAUAAAUAGUUUAGGACAUUUGUAACUUCUAGUUAGACUUUCUAUUAAAUGGGACCAAAUGUGUGUAUGGGUGCUGUCAGUCUGCUUCAGUCCAGCCAGUCCAUUGUCUCUAAGAUGAGACUCAACAGGACUUGGAUUUUGAGAAACCCAGGGUUUAAAUAAUUGCCUGAGGUCAUCAGGGGGACAGACUGAGUGUCUGUGAUCACUAACAGUGAGUGGACCUUAAAUCCACUCCAGAACUGUUGUGGGAGACCAAUUCUCUUAACAGACUGUCCAGUAGACAUCAGGAAUCCUUGAACAAUUUGGUUUUUCUUCCUUUUUCUGUUGUGCUGCAUGCACAGAUAUCCAACACUCAUGGGUUGUUUGGGGGAAAGUACUAGUGACGAUGUCAAUGUUAAUAAUACUUCAUGAUUGAUAUAGCUUUCAAAUAAAAUGUUUUCUAUGACUCAGAUAUUUAAUUUGAGGCAAUAAAGAAGAUAAAAAUGGUGUUUCCCAGCCAUGUUGCUACUUUUAGCAUGGUAGCUACUCUCAAGGUCACCGAAGCUUUCAUAGCAAAAGUUGGGUGGAAAAGGAUAUUUUUAUUUGAGAUGACACACUAGAGCCAGCAUAUUAUCUAACAACCAUGAAGAAAGUGUUGGGUGUCUUUAAAUAUUUAGUUAAUAUAUUCCUCAUGGACAUGAACAUACAUUCUUAGUUAUUAUCAUGAUGCCAAAUGAGAAUGGCAAGCCUAAGUUCGUGAAACACCAUCACAAUUAAGUCAAAAUAAUGCUAUGCUUUUGCAAGCGCAAGAUAAAGCCUGCUCAAUCUAGGGAUCCAGUUGUGCAGUAGAGUUCAGACUUCUCAUUCAAUCUUCUAUCGUAGACAUCUCUCAAGUGUUCUAGAUAUUAAUAACUAACAUUGGAAUUUUAUCUUUGCCAGCCCCAGCCUUCAGAACUUCAUUGUCAUAGUACAUCUGUAAAAAUGGUUGCACAUCAGAAGGGGCUUUGAAGCGGUUGUAUGUUGUUUGCCGAACUCAUUGUAAUUUUUUGUUCUUUUGCCUGCAUUGCCUCUUUUUGUACAGAACUUUUGAGUGUGAAAUGAAAAUUAAAGUUUGGUACAUACACAGUUUAAAAUCAUGUUUGUGUAUGAUGCAUAGGGUAAAAUGGGUGGCCCCGCACAGAAGUCUGCUCAUCCUGCUGUGAGGAAAUGACAUCAUAGUUUCUUCCAACUUGGCAUGUAAUUCCCCAAGGAGCCUGCUUUUAGAAUCAUUAAACUCGAUGAAUCUGAGUCUCCAAGAGGGACCUUCUGUGACAGCUAGUGAAAAGGUCGAUUUGGGGUAUGAAAGGAAAGGGGAUGAGGUCUUUUCUGCAAAUUGAUAAAUUAUAAGUGGACAUAGACUGGAAAAACUAUACAGGAAAGAAAGUUUUGGAGAAUCUGAGUGUGUAUAUAUGUAUGUGUCUGUCUGUCUGUACUUAACAUAAGUUCUGAGAAUCAUGAGGUAGGGAAUAAAGUAUGUGUGUACCUGUUAAAAAUCAAUACAGCUAAAUAAUAUUGGUGAACUUAUUUGAACUGUAUUCAUUAGGUACAUUGAUUUUCAUGCCCAAGUCGAAGUAAAGCAGUGAAGAACCCACUCAUCUGACCCAUGUGGUGACUCAUACACAGUAAAUAGAGGGUUUGAGUAGCGUGUCUACCCCUAGAUGAUCUUCAGAAUAGAGAGCUCUGCUUUCUGGUCACAUUCAGUCUGGCAGGAGUGUUUUCCCUGCUGUGACUCUUCUCUUCCCUCCAUCUGGUUCCCAAAUAUCUAGAAAUGCAGCAAUUCCUGAAAAUAGGUUCCACAAAAUGCCUCCAGAGACUGACCUUUGAAGUAAUGCUGCGUA
rnacentral:lncRNA from 1 species